rnacentral:snoRNA from 1 species
AAGAUCAUACUUCACAGGAUCAUUUCUGUAGUAUAUCUUGACUUGUUUCCCACCAGAAACUUGUCUCCUUUCAACCCACGAUGACGAGUUUAAGACGCUGGUUUCUGAGCGUGAAACAGGCUGUGAGUGUAGCUGUCUCGACAGCAUCAAACACAGUCAUUGAGGACCGUUUCCGUUAAAUCCAUGUGAAAUAGCGGAAGGAAACUAGCGUGUUCAGAGUGGU